rnacentral:rRNA from 1 species
GAUGAACGCUGGCGGCGUGCCUAAUACAUGCAAGUCGAGCGAACAGACGAGGAGCUUGCUCCUCUGACGUUAGCGGCGGACGGGUGAGUAACACGUGGAUAACCUACCUAUAAGACUGGGAUAACUUCGGGAAACCGGAGCUAAUACCGGAUAAUAUAUUGAACCGCAUGGUUCAAUAGUGAAAGACGGUUUUGCUGUCACUUAUAGAUGGAUCCGCGCCGCAUUAGCUAGUUGGUAAGGUAACGGCUUACCAAGGCAACGAUGCGUAGCCGACCUGAGAGGGUGAUCGGCCAAACGGGAACUGAGACACGGUCCAGACUCCUACGGGAGGCAGCAGUAGGGAAUCUUCCGCAAUGGGCGAAAGCCUGACGGAGCAACGCCGCGUGAGUGAUGAAGGUCUUCGGAUCGUAAAACUCUGUUAUUAGGGAAGAACAAAUGUGUAAGUAACUAUGCACGUCUUGACGGUACCUAAUCAGAAAGCCACGGCUAACUACGU